rnacentral:lncRNA from 1 species
CCUCUGAUCAGAUAUUUUCAAAAUUUCUGUCUUUAAUUUCACUGAAUCUGUCUUUUGCUUAAGUCUGCUUCAGAUGCUAUUUUCGCUUCAUUUAUUAUAAUCUUCAGCUCCAGGAUUCCUAUUUGGUUCCUUUUUAUUCUUUCUAUAUCUUUGUUAAACUUCUCAUUUUGGUUAUGAUUUCAUUUUCCUUUCUGUGUUUCAUUGAAGCUCAUUGAGUUUCCUUGAAACAGACUUUGUGGAUUCCUUAUCUGGUAAAUCAUAGAUCUCCAUGUGUUUGGGCUGAGUUACCAGAAGAUUAUUGUGAUCCUUUAGUGUUGUCAUGUUUCCUUAAUUUUUCAUGUACCUCAAGAGUUUUGUGUUUAUGUCUUUGCAUUUGAAGUAACAGUCACUUCCUACUACUAACUAGUAAUGGCCCAACAUCCAAACUCAUAAUUUUUGUUCAAAAGGAAUGCUGGAAAUUUUCAUCUUGAAAACUGGACUACCAAAAAUUAUUUUUCACAAACAGGUAAUAUUAAAGAUGCUAAAAUAUUCUAGUGACAUAAAACGCAAUUUUUGUUCUAAAGUUUUUCACAUUUCAAAGUCCAUGGUAAUAUAAACCCUAAGUCAGAAACUGGGCAAUCUACUGCUUCUGAAGGGACCUACUCAAAGUAAAAUAAAUGUUAUCUGGAGUUCAGUAAGGAAAAGUAAGCUAUUUACCCAACUCUAACGCUGUCUGGUUGGUAAAAACAAAAUUCAAAAAUGUCAAAAUAUAUCCACCAGGCAACACAUUUUUAAGUGAGCUAAUAGCUAAAUAUUGGGGAAUUUGCACUUUAUUUAUAUGAACCACUCCUGGAAGAAAGUACCUAUCAUCAGGAAAUGGGUAGUAAUGAUGAUGGAAGAUUUCAGUUUAGGUUACUCACUUGAUUAAGCCUAAUAUAUCCUGGCACAAAGCCAUCCUUGGGAGUUAGCAUUGCAGAAAUACCAUCCCAUAUAUCUUAGACAUGUAUUUUGAAGAUGAGCACAUUUGUCACAUUUCAGGAAAUGCAGCCCUCAACUAUGAUUUAUUUCGUCAUCACUUCAUAACCUUAAAUAUUUGCUAUAUUUCUGCUAAUCUCACUUCAACUCAUUGAGGUAAAAUUGCUUCUUCUCCCUUUCAUUGCUUUCAAAUAAUAUCUGACUCUUCCUUUCCUGUCCAUAAAAACAUGGCCAUAAAAAUCAUCCAAAACUUGAAAAUAAGGCAAAAAAGGUAGACAACAUAUCCCCUCAGUGUUAUAGAGAGGCAAAAGCCAUCCAGGUGUUAUGCAGGAACAUGAUCUUUGUUCAUUUCACUGUUGAUGGUUGAUUAAAGUUCCAAGACAUAGUGAAUUUGUAGUUUUAUAGAAGAGCAAUGUAAAUAAUUUCUAAUAAAAUAAGUAAUCUAAAUAUUGAAGUACAAUAAUGAAAUAUUGAAAUAAAUGUUAUCACCCCACUUACUCUAUUUUCCAUUGCUAAAAAAGAUGCAGGGCAGAUCUGAAUAAUUAAAUGAUCUUGGAUUACCUGGAUAAACCUCAAAUAAUCACAAGCAUUCAUCAAAGUACAAGAGAAAGGCACAAGAAUCAAGAGUGUUUUAAUAGGAGAAGAUCCCCACACUACUGGCUUUGGGGACAAGGAAGGAAACCAUGAACAGUGGAAUGUAGGCAGCCUUUAGCAACUGGCAAAGACAAGGGAAUGGAUUCACUCUUAUAGCCUCCAGGAAGAAAUGCAGAUCUGCCGACAACCUUCAUCUUGUCCAGAGAGGCCCAUUUUGGACCUGAAUCAUAGAGCUAUAAGAUAAUAAAUUUGUGUUGUAUUAGGCCACCAAGUUUGUGAUAAUUUUUAUAGCAGUGGUAGAAAACUAGUAUAGCUUAUGUAAGUUUAAAGAACCCUCUCUUCACUCUCCCUUCCUAUCCCCAGAGUCAGACUAUCCAAAUAUUCUCAAAUCUCUAGUCUUUUGCUUACAUAGUCAGUGGGAGAGAAGGAGCUAACACUUUUAACGAUUCCUCCACCUCAAGGAAGUGUGAUAGAGAUCUGUCAAGAUUCUUAAUGUCUCUUGUGAAUAUGGUACCUGCUGUGUCAGCUUUGGGAAUUCAGGUACAAUGUCAAGAUGAUAGGAAAGGAUUUAUGCAGCUAGACCAAAUUUAAGAGAAAGAAUUUGGUCUGAAAAACUUGUUGCAAUGUCAUUUAGGUGCCAACCGCUCAAAUGGGGUACUUGUUUAAAAUAUGAUUAAUGAACUUUGUUCUAAAUCUACCUAAUCAAUAUCUCUGGAGAAUGAGGCCCUUAAUGACAUGCACUAAAACUUGAUAAACCCCAUCAUAUAGGGAUACAUGUUUUUACUUCACUUCUGUUAUGGAAACCUUAGUUAGACCAAACAAGAGUUUUUGUUUUUUGAAGUAGAGUGUACCUGCUGCCUCACUUGACAGCACAAAGACCUGAGACCCAGAAGGAAUAAGGUAUUUGACUAAAGAUACAAUAUCUUGACUGACAAAAUAGGAAUUGGAUGACAGAGUCCAUGCCUUUACUCUUACAUGAAGUCAUCCCUCUUGAAGACAAAAGGGAACAGUGCCUUUUAGAAACAAACACAUUUACUGUAGGUUUGUUUCAGCUCCACAGUAGCCUCUUUUUAUUGUUGAUUAUUAGUGUUUCAAUAAAUGACUGCAAACCAUUCUGUGCCAUUAAAUUCCCAUGCCAACUGUGAGAUUUGUAAGUGCUUGUUCCUUGACAUUUCCUAGGCAAUCAAUCACAUGUGCUUUCUUCUCUCCUUAAGUCUGAUGCUUUUUUUCCUGGGUUAAUGGGGAGCAUACUGAAUUGUCCUCCACAUAGGAUACUUGGUAAUAGUCAAUGAAUCCAAGAUUUCUAUUUCUGCCUGGAGAGUGUUUUACAUGUCAAUAGUCACAACUGAAGUUACUGUUAAAAUAAGUUAAAAGGUUUGCUUUGAUCCUAGAAGCCUGUCAUUAAAACUCCUGCCAACUGGCAAAAACUUGAAAGGUUUGCUUUUCAGCAUUGAGCACUAGGAAAAUUUAGUCAAUUAGACUUGGCUUGAUUUUUUUUUUCCUCAGGAUGAGUUUUCUCCUUUAAAAGACUCCCCAGAAGAAUAAAUUAAUAAGAUGUCAAGAAAAAGGAAAACUCAUAUGUGAAGUGAAAAUGGACAAAGGUAUUAUUAUACAUGAAAGGGGCAUAAGGCCCCUGCCUCAGCUCUGCAGCUCAGCAAUCACACACUGAGCCUGAUUUUUCCAAGAAGAGCAAUGUCUUUGGAACUUACACAGACCUAACUGCUAAAACCAUCUCAACCUCCUUCCUUCCUCUUUGCCCUUUGUCUUUGCAUGUGAUAUAAUAACCAAAAGCAGGUCUUACUUCCAUUAACUUUAAUAUUCAUUGAGAAUAGCACCAUCCCAGUAUGUCUCCAUGUGGCACUACUCUCAAAAAUCACACACCUGUUUAUUUUGCCAGUGGCUCUUGUGACUCUGUAUUAAUCCUGAGCUGGGUUGAAAUUUGCAGGAAACAUCUAGCUUUGGCUUAGGGCUCUUUAUACUUUCACAACUCCCUUCUUCCCUAGCAGUAUGGAGAAAUCUUUUUAUGAUUUUCUGUUGUAGAAUCUGGAAACUUUUCUCAGUUGUAUAAAGUGAAUUGGAAAAUGAAAUCAUUAAUUUCAUAGAUUACAUGUUUUAUAUACGAUCAUAUAGGUUAUAAUCAUAAAUUGCUUAUGAUAGUAUUAUGAUUGAGUCUGAACCUACAUGGGAAAAGAAUCUGAAAAAGAAUUGAUAUAUAUAUAUAUGUAUAACUUAUUCUCUUUGCUGUAUACCUGAAACUAACAUAACAUUAUAAGUUAACUAUACUCCAAUAAAAUGUAAAUAUAUAUAUAUAUUAUGAUGAGUCUGAACAUGGCUCCUUCUUUCUAGUUUACUCUGACAUGGUUAUUUUGGUGAAUUCUCAAAAUGAAGUUUAAGAGGCAUACUUAAAGUACAAUAUCUUCCACCCAAAUUGUUUCAUGCGCAUAUUAAUUAAAUCACUCUUCCUCAUUUGCUUUAUCUACUCAGUCACCAAGUCCUCUUCUUUCAUCUUUUUAAAGAAUUACAGCCACCGUCUCCUCGUUCAUCACCUUUAUUUUCAACCUCCAUCUUCAACGGCACAUCACUGCCAAAAAAUAUAGUUAAGAUAUUGGGUACAAACAAACGGCCCUUCCUCUGUUAAUACCACACCACAAUGUUUCAAGGUCUGAAAUUAUCUGACCCCACUGUAGCUCAACUUUUUUUCUAUCUCAUUCUACUGUUGAUCAGAUCUCUCAUGCAUGCUUCCUACUGUGCCAUGGUUCAAGCCCUUUGGUGAAAACUGUAAAUGUUCUUAUCUACUAAACAAGCCAUAACCAGCCUUAAAGUUCAAGAGAUUCUAUGAAACUUUUAAAAAACAUUUAUCAUCUACUUGUCUCUAUUACAAAAUCCAAUUAAAUCAGUCUAACUAAUAGUGUAUUUUCUUGUUUAUAUUUGCUGGGCCCUAAUUGCUAAGAUUUUGGGGAUUUUAAGUACAAGAACCUUAUUUGGGAACUUCAUGCUUUCAGUCAGUGGGUUUAUCCUUCCAUUAUAAACAACUGAAAACACAGAAAAAUCUAUGAGAGACAGUAAUUCUCAGGCAUUGGACAAAACCAGUACAAAAUCAAGGUCCCUCAGAAAAAGGAAAGAAAUGAGGUGUACCCUGAGAUUGCUCCAAUUAACUGCCUAGAGAAAGUUCAAAGGCUGCAAGACACAGAGAGGGAAGCCAAACAGAACUUGGCAGUCUCCCUGAGUUGAGGGAACAAAGUAGACAAUUUGGGGAGGCCAAGGCAGCUAGGAUCAGAAGAAUAAAGUAUGAGACAGAAGUGAACUGCAUAGAAAAGCCCUGGAGAUGUUCAGAAAGUUCUUUUCAAGUCUUCAGCUGAGUACUGAUCAUCCCAUGUUUAUGAAGAAACUACUCAAAACCAGAGAAAC